rnacentral:rRNA from 1 species
UACGUAGGGGGCAAGCGUUGUCCGGAAUCAUUGGGCGUAAAGAGCGCGUAGGCGGCCCUGUAAGUCCGCUGUGAAAGUCAAGGGCUCAACCCUUGGAUGCCGGUGGAUACUGCAGGGCUAGAGUCCGGAAGAGGCGAGUGGAAUUCCUGGUGUAGCGGUGGAAUGCGCAGAUAUCAGGAGGAACACCAACAGCGAAGGCAGCUCGCUGGGACGGUAUUGACGCUGAGGCGCGAAAGCGUGGGGAGCGAACAGG